rnacentral:misc_RNA from 1 species
GAGUGGUGAUUGACGUGUAUUGGUACAUUGGAUCCCUGCUUGGGCAGCGACAGCGUACCUGGCUCGUCUCUUCAGAUGUUGGCAUAGGCGCAUUGAGCCUUGGCCGAAUGGUGUUUUCCUGUGCUAUAUACCCAUACAAAGGUACUGAAUUUGCUCAAUUACAUUUGUUCGCUUCUAGCUGCGUCCCCUCGGAUUUUGGYAUGAAGUGAACGUUGAAGUAUUGAUUGUGUUCCACUCUCCUUGCAUGCUCGUGCAUGGGUUGGUGGGCCAUGAUCCUUGCUUGAUCUCUUGGUUGUGGAAUACCUUGUGGGCAUGAGGCAGUAGUCUCUUUUCGCCCCUUAUUGAGCGUUUAACGCAACAUUCAAAUGACGGUUGUGGUCGUUUUAACUAGGUCUUUAUGGCUUGGCUCAUACGAUCCCGACGUCGAUGAGGAAUGCUACCUGGUUGAUCCUGCCAGUAGUCAUAUGCUUGUCUCAAAGAUUAA